rnacentral:rRNA from 1 species
AUAUUGGUCAAUGGGCGCAGGCCUGAACCAGCCAAGUCGCGUGAGGGAUGACGGUCCUACGGAUUGUAAACUUCUUUUGUGCGGGGAGUAACGUCGGGACGCGUCCCGUAUUGAGUGUACCCGAAGAAUAAGCAUCGGCUAACUCCGUGCCAGCAGCCGCGGUAAUACGGAGGAUGCGAGCGUUAUCCGGAUUUAUUGGGUUUAAAGGGUGCGCAGGCGGCGCGCCAAGUCAGCGGUCAAAGUUCCGGGCUCAACCCGGUGUCGCCGUUGAAACUGGCGUGCUCGAGUGCGUGCGAGGAAGGCGGAAUGCGUUGUGUAGCGGUGAAAUGCAUAGAUAUGACGCAGAACUCCGAUUGCGAAGGCAGCAUACCAACUCGCGACUGACGCUGAGGCUCGAAAGCGUGGGUAUCGAACAGGAUUAGAUACCCUGGUAGUCCACGCAGUAAACGAUGACUACUAGCUUUCCGGGAUGAUUGAGUCCUGGGAGGCACAGCGAAAGCGUUAAGUAGUCCACCUGGGGAGUACGCCGGCAACGGUGAAACUCAAAGGAAUUGACGGGGGCCCGCACAAGCGGAGGAACAUGUGGUUUAAUUCGAUGAUACGCGAGGAACCUUACCCGGGCUCAAACGACAGCGGACAGCUCCUGAAAGGGGGUCUCCGGCAACGGCCGCUGUCGAGGUGCUGCAUGGUUGUCGUCAGCUCGUGCCGUGAGGUGUCGGCUUAAGUGCCAUAACGAGCGCAACCCCCAUCUCCAGUUGCCACCGGGUCAUGCCGGGCACUCUGGAGGGACUGCCAGCGCAAGCUGCGAGGAAGGCGGGGAUGACGUCAAAUCAGCACGGCCC